UACGUAGGGUGCAAGCGUUAAUCGGAAUUACUGGGCGUAAAGCGUGCGCAGGCGGUUUCAUAAGACGGAUGUGAAAGCCCCGGGCUUAACCUGGGAACUGCAUUUGUGACUGUGAGGCUAGAGUACAGCAGAGGGGGGUAGAAUUCCACGUGUAGCAGUGAAACGCGUAGAGAUGUGGAGGAAUACCAAUGGCGAAGGCAACCCCCUGGGCUGAUACUGACGCUCAUGCACGAAAGCGUGGGGAGCAAACAGG
rnacentral:rRNA from 1 species